UUAUUCUUGUAUGCACAUCAAGGUGUCAUGUACUAUACCUUCUUUGAAGAAGUAGCAAUCAUCUCAUCAUAUACAUAAAUUUUCUUGUCCGAACUUAUGGUAUCAUCAUCAUUGAACCUGCAUGGUUUCUGUUGCUGAACUAAAAUAAACUUUUACCCAAAUAAAGGUGAACAUUGGGACAUUUGUACAACAAGAACUGAAUCUAAUACCAAUAUUGAACUUGCAGGUUUCAUCUAGCUACCAACGUCAAAUUUACUGAUCCUAAAAUCAAUCACCACCACAAGACAAUGAAGUUCUCCAAAUGGUUGAUCGAGGAAGAGCUAGCUGCUGAAUCCGAUCACAUUUACCACUGGGAACAGCCAACCACUAGUUUGUAGAGGGAUUUAGCGACGUCGGCAGCCGCCAUCUUGCACCUGAGAAUCAAACCAAAUAUUCAGGCGGAUAAAUAAGUGCACAAGAGAUAUUUCUUUAGCAAGACAUUUUCACGGAACAGGCAAACCAAACUUUUUCAAUGAACACGCAAAUCAAUUUCUUAUAAAGCUUCCUAGCCCAUUAGCUUCAACCUUUACAAGACAAACUUCUUUCUAGGGGCAGAACAGAAGAUGAACUUCUAACCUGCAGUUUUUCACACUGAAUUCCAAUCACAUGUUGAAUUUUCUAACCUGCAGUUGCAAAGAAGCCAUCCCAAGUCAGGCUAGACAAAGAUGUCCGGUUGGCUCUUGCCGUAUAUGGAGAAUUUCUAGAAUUUGGUAAAACAAUUGAAGUAGCUUGGUCUGGUUAGUAUCACUAUCACCAUAACUAGAUACCUGUACUACUUUUUGACUAUAACAAGAAAAGAAAGCACUAGCUAGUGUUCAAAAAUAUAGAAAGGGUGAUAUUUCUUAAAUACAAAAUUCAGAAAAGAAUGGUGCUCUCUAUCAGAUUGUUGAUGCAUGAAAAUCGUAUGAACUUCAUAUACUGCAAUAGAGUUUCAUCAAGUGCACACACACAUUGGCGCGCGUCUUGCUACACCGAAAGCUUGCGAUGAACUGUUUAAAGUUUGAAAACUGAACCUUUUGUUCUCAAGUACUGACACUACAAAAUAUAAAUAUAUAUCCAUUGUUUCUAACACAAAAGAGUGACCACGAAUACCAGCACUACAAAAAUGCACUCUACAGGUAUAGACUACAACAUACUUCACAUUACCAGAUUGCAAUUCUUCUUGUAGAUGAUAUAUUUUUCCAAUGAACUAAUGAACUGAACAAGAUUCACAUGAGACAUAUGACUUUUGGGGAUUUCCUCAAGAUUAUGCGCAAUAAAGCAUCCGGACCGAAAACAACAGACAAGCUGAACUGAAAACCAAAAUAAAUGGCCUAUGGGUUCCUCAUAUAGCAACUAAAACUUCAGUACAACGACACCUUUUAUUGCUGCACUACUACUUAAACAAGGUAAAUCGAUAAAAAAUUGAACUAAUAAACAUCUACUUAUGACGCGUUUGGUUCGACGGAAAUGUCACGACUUCCGAUUACAGCGCUUUCUGAAACAGAAUCCGGCGUUUGGUAGGCCCACGAUGUAUUAGGUAGCGGCAUCCUCCGAUACAUGCGCUUGCGAAGCGGAAAACGGCGGGACCGAAGGUGAUUAGAAAACCGGGAGCCGAACGCUCGAAACAAACAUAUCUCGUAUUCGGUAAAAAUAGUCUGAAGACGGAGCUUCCCGAUACCCAAGUCGAAUACGUUACCUGAGUGCAAACCAAACGCGUCGUUAAUAUCUUUGUGCAUGUCCAUGGCGGCAGUGUGCAACCGUCGAGCAUGUAGCUCGAGUGCUGGAUGCAAAUGCCCAUAGUGGUGGCUGCUAUCGCCGCAAGAAUGUUGGACGUAUUGCCAGCUAGCAUCCACGAAAACCGAGACAAAAUUGAGUCUUGCACAAGAUCAAACUAAUAUAAACGCUUGUUGCAUCCAUCAGCAGUCAUGCAUAACCAAGCAAUGUGCAAAGCAAAGGGGCUGGUGUGUUCUCCCUGUGUGUGUGCUCGACUUGGACGGAUGUGCGGUGCUUAGUGAAGAUGGUGGCCGCAACCCACGAUUCUACUUGUACUGGCGUCAACGCUCCACUUGGACGGCUGCCAGCACCCCUGGUGGAAUUCAAGCUACAGCCAACAUUAGCAGGAAUUCAAGCGAAAGAAGCGAGAGAGGUUAGUGAAGAGAGGAGAACAGGAGAGACUAGCAUAGUGGAGGUUGGGAAAGGAGGCAAACUCCUGAGCUGCGGCGUCGAACGACUCGACGCUGUGUCAUUGAACGACCCAUGGUGGCGGCAGUGAAUGAUGCCAUGCCAUCGCGCAGGGCCAGCACCAAGGCUAGCACGCAUGGGAUCCUGCAUGCGGCGGCUCGUCGGACCUGGAUGGCGGUAAAGAGAACACGGCGGCCCUGCGAUGUAGACCUCGGUGGCCCCGAAGAGGGCCGGGGCUGCGGACGAGCUCAGUGGGGAUUCUCGGGGCGGCGGUUCAAUUAGAAACACAGUAGCAAUUUUGCUGCCAUCAAAUGAAAUUUGCAUGGUUCAAUUAGAAACACACAGUAGCAAACAUACUUGCAGAUUUUUUUGUGUAUAAAAAAGCUAGUGGUUUAAAUUGAAAACAUGGACAGUGCCACCACACAUUUUCUUUUAGUAUAUCUUCUCAUUUUCAUCCAGUGCAUGUUUUGUGUUAUAGGAACAAAAUGGAAAACAUAAAGGGAAUCAUACUUAUGAUUGGGAAUUAGAUAUACUGAAUAGCUUACAUUAGAUGGUGGUCGCAGUCCCACUUGGGCUGCGGUCAGAGCUCGACUUGGACGGCUCCCAACAACCGUGUAUACCCCUGGCUGCUGCAAGUUUGACUUAGUGAAGAUGGUGCAAAAUAGAUAAACCCAUUUUUAACACAAAACUGCAAAAUGCACUGUACAGGCAGAGAGUACAACAUACAAGUCUCAUUCUCAAAAAUAUUUAAACAUAAAUAGCUCUCAGAGUCUGAGCUGUUGUUUAGUUUUUUGUCGAACUGAUGCAAAAAUCACAGUGAUUUGUCAUAUAACAUAAAACCAAUGAACCGAACUGUUUCAAUAACACUCAUGAACUUUUGUAUGUGCUUAUUUAUUUAUUGGUAAUAACAUACAUAGUGAAAUGGUAGGCCUAGUGUGUUUUUUCCUUUGUACAUAGCGCAUUUUUACGAGCUACAUAGGCAAGAUAUACAUGAUAAUCUGUUCAGAAAAGCAUUUUUGAAGGCAUGUUUUUGAGGCAACCAAACCUGACCAAGCAUGGAGGCUUCCCAGGAGGGUCUCCCCAUCCCAGUACUAGUCCAUUUAGGGUCUCAUCGCAUUUUGGAGUUCUUUGGGAUCCAAUGGUUCACCCAAUUAAAUAGCAUGCAAAAAUCUUAAUCAUCUUCGGAUUCCACUGUUAAAAAUGGGUUUCAAACACCACUUCUAGACAGAUAGUGCUUAUUUUGCUCUCGGACGUCGACUGAACAGACAAAAACAGAACGCAUUACUUGCGCCAACAAUCCAGAAAUCCCCUGAACACAAAACUAAAACUGAAAAUUAUUGAGAUACCUUUGGGCGAAUCACUCUGCAUAUGUUGGUUCAGAUGCGCUGGUUAGACUGGCUCGCACGUCGACGUCACAAAACUCGCACUUUGGACGGUUCUCCUCCCAUCUGCACUGACAGGUUGCCGAACAUGCAUGAGGAAACUCACUAAACAAGCUCACCACCUUGUGGUGUUAGGAAACAAACAGUAGCAGUCUUUGAACUGAAACUAGAUUUCGUAUUGAAUUAUACUAAAUCAAGAAAUUGAACUGAGUGUGUGACGAGUUAGUCAAUGUGAAAUUGAACUGAUUGUUUCACAUCAUGCUGCAGGAGCGGGGUGGCCGGCAGCCGAGGUUAUGGGCUAGAGAGAAGGAAGGGGGAAGAGGAACUGAUGGGAGGGGCGGGUCUGACCUGAUUCCAGGGGCGCUCACAUGGGAUCCAGGCACAGGAGCAAGAAGUGACAGCUUGCCAAAGUGGCUCGUCCGGUGGCGUAUCAAGGAGAGAUUGCGGUAGCACGGUGAGACCGUGAUGCGGGCGCCCCUAAACUGAUGUGAAUUUUGUUGCCAAACUGCUGUGCAAUCAUGCAAUGAGUGAGCUACCAUAUAAUAUGAAGUCGAGCUCUCUCUAACACACAUCAAAAUAUUUUUUACGGUUGUUCUGUAUGAACUAAUGACAAAAUACACAUUGAACUGAUAAUAAUAUAUUAUUUUUUCAUAUAGGAAACAUGUUCUUCUCCACAUGAACUGAUACUCUAACACACAGAGAAUUGUUUCCAUGCUUUUCUAAGAACUGAGGAUAAAAUAAAUAGUGAAUUUCCAGGAUCUCAUUGCAACCUUGCUUCCUAUUCAAUUAAGGAUUCAUGUGACACUUGCUUCCCAUUUCAUCGGUACUAGUACGACUCAACAAUAAGUUCAGAAUUGUAGAUGGCAUCCUUGUCAGUACGACUCAUCAGUACUAUAUGGAUGCUACUUUUAGCAUUAAGAAUAGUACUGAUCGGUACUAAUAUUGUGUAAGUUGUACUGAUCAGUACUGCUACUUGUCGUCGACAUGCACUGAUCGGUACUAAUAUUGUGUAAGUUGUACUGAUCAGUACUCGCAAGGUAAGUAGAGUGGAGUAAAAUCUGUAGCUUCCAUUGCAGCGGAGAUGACGUCGACAUGCACUGGAGCAUGGCGUGCUGGAGUGAUACACUUCGCGUAGACCGGUACUUGAACUUGCUACACAUCGACACUAGCACCAGUAGCACAAGUUAAAAAAACAUAUGGCAGCACAUUCAGUUGAAAAAUAGAAGAAAGCGGAACACAACAUUUAGAAGAUGCUCCAAACUCCACACACGAGCGAGACCAGGAUGCAGACGCAAAGUUGAACGGCCAGAGCAGAUCAACCAGGACGGACUCCACAGAUGCACAGGGGGGGGGGGUGUAACGCCCUCGAUGCGGCUAUAUCUCCCACGUGUCGAAGCACGACUUAGAGGCAUAACCGCAUUGAAAGCAAUGUCGCAAGUGAGGUAAUCUUCACACAACCCAUGUAAUACAUAUGGGAAAGAGAUACAUAGUUGGCUUACAAUCGCCACUUCACACAAUUACAUGAAUAAAGCAUUACAUCAUCCAGAUACAAUCAAGGUCCGACUACGGAACCAAAAUAAAAGAAGAACCCCAAAUGCGACAAAGGUCCCCGAUCGACCCCAACUGGGCUCCAAUACUGAUCAACUAAAACGAAACAACACAAAGGGCAAGAUCUUCUUCGAGCUCCUCCUGAGCUUGGUUGCGUCAUCUGCACAGACUCAUCGGCACCUGCAAGCUGGUUUUGGAAGUAUCCGUGAGCCACGGGGACUCAGCAAUCUCGCACCCGCGAGAUCAAGACUAUUCAAGCUUAUAGGAAGGAUGGAGUAAUGAGGUGGAGCUGCAGCAAGCGACUAGCAUAUAUGGUGGCUACAAUCGCAAAAGAGAGCGAGAAGAGAGGGCAAAGCACGGUCGAUAAAAGUAUGAUCAAGAAGUGAUCCUAUAGCAACCUACGUCAAGCAUAACUCCAACACCGUGUUCACUUCCCGGACUCCGCCGGAAAGAGACCAUCACGGUUACACACGCGGUUGAUGUAUUUUAAUUAAGGUCAACUUCGGGUUUUCUACAACCGGACGUUAACAAAUUCCCAUCUGCCCAUAACCGCGGGCACGGCUUUCGAAAGAUAAUACCCUGCAGGGGUGUCCCAACUUAGCCCAUCACAAGCUCUCACGGUCAACGAAGGAAUAGACCUCCACCCGAGACGUUCCGAUCAGACUCGGUAUCCCGGUACAACAAGACAUUUCGACAGGGUAAAACUAAACCAGCAAGACCGCCCGAAUGUGCCGACAAAUCCCGAUAGGAGCUGCACAUAUCUCUUUCUCAGGGCACACUCAGAUAGGUCAAGCUACGAGUAAAACCAACCCUCAAGUUUCCCCGAGGUGGCCCCGCAGGCUGCCCAGUUCGGACCAACACUCAGAGGAGCACUGGCCCGGGGGGGUAAAAUAAUGAUGACCCUUGAGUCCGCGAAACCCAAGGGAAAAAGAGGCUAGGUGGCAAAUGGUAAAACCAAUGUUGGGCAUUGCUGGAAGAGCUUUACUUAAGGUGAACUGUCAAGGGGUUCCCAUUAUAGCCCAACCGCGUAAGGGACGCAAAAUCCGGGAACAUAACACCGAUAUGACGGAAACUAGGGCGGCAAGAGUGGAACAAAACACCAGGCAUAAGGCCGAGCCUUCCACCCUUUACCAAGUAUAUAGAUGCAUUAAUUAAAUAAGAUAUAUAGUGAUAUCCCAACAGGUAAAAAUGUCCCAACAAGGAACGACAUCUCCAUGUUCCAACCAGGAACAAACUUCAAUCUUCACCUGCAACUAACAACGCUAUAAGAGGGGCUGAGCAAAGCGGUACAUAGCCAAUCAACGGUUUGCUAGGACAUGGUGGGUUAGAGGUUUGACAUGGCAAUUUGGGAGGCUGACAAGCAAAUGGUAGGCAUCGUAGCAUUGGCAUAGCAAAAGAGCGAGCAAACUAGCAUGGCAAAGAUAGUAGUGAUUUCGAGGGUAUGAUCAUCUUGCCUGAGAUCCCGCAAGGAAGAAGAACGAAUCCAAGAAGAAGACAAACGGACGUAGACGAACGGAUCCUCACAACCGCAACGUUGUCGGAAACAACCCGAAGAAGCACACCGGAAAGAAGCAAACAACAUAGUAAACAACAAACACAUAAACAUGGCAUGAUGCGCAAUCAAGUAUGAUGCAUGUCCGGUUUAAUGAGGCAUGGCAUGGCAAAGAGCACAAGCAACCCUACAAAUUAAGUGGAGCUCAAUAUGCAACGAGUUGCAUAUUGACGAAACACCACGACAAUUAUUUAGUUCUCUCUCGGUUAUGUACUCAACAAUAUUAAAUGUUGGUUAACAUGGCAAGAGGGUGAAGCAAAGUAAAACUACCUAUCUAGUCAAGUUUAAAUGAGGCCGGAAGCAACGAACAACAAUUCCGGAAACUCCUCAUAAGCAUAAAUUAGGUUUGGUACUGUUCUGCCCUAAACACAAUUUUAGAGUUGUUUAAAAUGCAAAUAAAGGUCACCAUGACGGAACAAAAAGGGUGCCACGGCGGCGAAACAAAAAUGGUGCCACGGCAACAUUCCGGUCCCGGUAACUCAUAGAGAUACCGGUGCAAAAGGAGGCGUGAACAAGUCAUGCAAGAUGGUGGGGUGCUCCCGGCUUCCGGGUUCCCACGGGAUAGUGGCAUGGAAACGAGUGACAAACGGACACGAUGCAAAAACGGGCAUCUCAUACAACAUGCAUUCGGUCCACGGACAUCGUCUCGGUGUUAUACCUUCGAAGCGUGCGUUUUCGGAGCGGUUCGAGUCGUCGAGGGAAGUAGUUGUUCACGGCGACGGUAGUGGUACAUCUCGUAGAUGUUCACGGGCCGUAGUGGAGGUAGACGUUCACGGCGUAGUCGUACAUGUCGGCGGUAGUGGAAGUAGUGAUACACGGCGACAGAGUACUUGAGGUCUCGGCGAUGGUAGUCGUACACGUUCGGAGAGGAACUUGAUGUACCCAUGUGCUUCACGGGUCGUCGUUGAACUUGACGAAAUCCAUCCGCAGGUAGCCGUCUGUGGUCGUACUCAUGUUGGCGUGCAACCCGAUGGUCUCGAGGAUCGUAGUCAAACUUGGCUGUCCAUAUGGUCACCGAAACGAAGCAACACGAGGGCCUCGAGUGGGCAGCAGCAAGGACAAGCGGUGCGUGAGCAGCGGCAGGAAGCGGGCACGCUCAAGGAGAGCAGCAGAGGGCAGCAGCAGCAGUGAGGCGAAGGUGGCGGCCUAGCACGGCGCCGGAGACGGGGAACGGGUGGAUCCGAGGUCCCCAGCAGCAGGGAAGGCAUCCGGCGAAACGGCAGAGGCAGGGCGAGGUCGACGACGAGCUGGAGAAGGCGCUGUGGGGCUUCACCGACGCCUGCACUUGUCGGAGAUGGCGAGCGAAGGCGGGGAAGGCGGUCACGGCGGCCGGCAGAGUUGAACGGACUCGGGCACGCGUUCCAGCGAAAAGACGGACGGCGAUGCGUCUGAAGCGGGGAAGGAGCACGGGCGACGCGCUUGGGUGCCGGCACGAUGGUCGAUGGGGAGGGGCUUGGCGCGGCGGGGACGAGCUCGUGCUCGAGCGCCUGAAGAAGAUGGCGCGGCGGCGCUGGAAGAAGGCAGCGGCGACGGGAGCCGGCGCUAACGAGGCUGCGGCGCAGAGGAGAUGAGGGUCGGGCGAGUGAUGGGACGGGCGCGAUGCGGGCGAAGGGGAGGACGAGGGAGAGAUGGAUGGGGAUCGGGCAGAGGGGUUCGGGCAAGUGGCGGCGUAGGGAGAGAGUGGAGGGAGAGAUCGAGAGGAGGGGAUCGGUCUCCUGGCGGCUAGGGUUAGAGGGGUCGGCUGGGCCUUGGGCCGGCUUAAGUAGGAGGGUUAGGUGGGCUGUGGCUGGAGAGGUCGGUUGGGUCGGCCCAUGUGGAGAGGAAAUGGCCAGAGGCCUGGCUAGGCUUACCUCUCUCUUCUCUCUCUUAUAUUUACUUUAGCAGAAAAGCAAAAAGAGAGGAGAAAAGAAAAGGAGGGUUAGGGAAAGAAAAUGCGCAAGGGGAUAAUCUCCUUGGACUCACAAAAAUAUGCUCGUACCAAGAAAAAUAGAAAGAGGCAUGAUUGAAAGAUUAAAUUCAAACUCAUUUGAUUUAAAUUCAAAUGAUUUGAAUAGGAAGUGAGGUUUGGGAAGGUCCAAAAAUGUUCGGAUUUUUGGUGGAGCUCCGGAAAAUGAUGAAAUAAAAAUUGGCAAGGAUGGAGACCAAACUUGAAGCAGAAAAGGAACGAAAUUAUUUUGUAAGUGUGUUUUGAUGAUUCCAAAAUAGUGGAAUAUUUAAUAUAGCUCCCUAAUAUUGGAGGAUAUGUUAUAAAGAGAAGUCACCAUGUGAGUCCCUCGAUUUAAAAGGAUCGAAAAAUCCAUACAAUUUAUUUAGUUGAGGUUUUAAAAAUUAAUGAUAUGAUGGCAUGAUGACAUGAUGCAAUGCACAUGAUGCAAGGAUGAAUGCAACAAAUAAAACAAAUCACACGACGAAACUCGGAGUCGCUGGAAGUCUUAUGGAGCGUCGGUCUCGGGGCGUUACAGGGGGCGCGGCCGUCGGGAAACAUGUGUGACAUGAUUUUGUGGUGGAAUCUCUAAUGUCCUGAAUGCAUUACAUGAAGAGUGAAAGGGAGAGGAGUCACCAAACACACAUCCAAAGUGCAUGUCUCUCGUUUCAUGAGCAUUUUCAGUGCAGGUUCAUUACUGAGGUUUUUUUUUCACAAAUUCAGGACACUUUUUUGGCUUCAUAGGUGCAUUUUCAGUGCUGAAUACCCGCUACCAAGUCUGCAUGAACAGUUCAAGAACUCGUGAUCAUAGGUAGCAGUUCAUUGGUUCAAAUAAUAUAGGCGUCACAUGUGGAUGAACAAUUCAACAAUUCAGGUUUCAUCAGUGCAAAGCUCAAAUGAAUGCAAGUGGAGAUGCUCGAUCCGGAGAGGGGAGGGGCCGUACAGGGUGGCGCUUGUGCUUGCCCAUGGCCAGAAUAGGCAGCGGUGCACCGUGGUGGAGGAGAUGGCUGGGGCGGGGGUGGCACGCCAGCAGGUUGGCGUCGGCCGGGAUCCGGAGUCCUCGCUCGUCGGCGAACUUAUCCACGGAGGAGAAGGCGAGGUGGCUCAUGGGAAGGAGCAGCAGUAUACCGCGGCACGCGGUUGGGGCGUCGACCGGUGUCACCUGGACAGUGGAGCAGGCGCAGCCGCGCAUGGCAGAGCUCGGGAGGCUGCCUCUUUUGGGAAAGAGUGGGGGGGAGGGGAUGGCCGGCGAGCUCGGGGAGAGGGGCGACGCGUCGGGGGAGAGGGGCGGCGCGGCGGCGCAUCUGGGGAGAGGGGCGGCGGCGCGUCGGUGUAGAGGAGUGGCGCCGCGGUGGGGGACGAGGAUGGCGCCGCGGUGGGGGACUGGGGUGGCCGCGGGCGGCGCAAGGCGGAGGGGCAUGGAGCGGCGGCGAGGCAUGGGUGGAUGGGAUUGGGGACUCGGGAGGUGGGUGGGCGAGUUGGUGUGAAAUUGCUUUUUCUUUUCUUUUCAAUCCAUCCGGUUCGGGCCCGUGGGCUACAUUCAAAAAAUUGUGUCGUGCGUGCCCUUAUAGAGGCGAAGGGUAAAAGCAACGUGUACAAUAUGUAGUAUCAUAAAAUAAUAGCAAACGAAAAAAAAUUAAAUGAAAACAUAAAAUUAAAGGAAAAAAAAUCAUAAAACCAAAACCCUCAAACAUUUUAGUACCGGUUGAGGUCUCCCCGCCCCUGGCGCUGGUUCAUGCCACGUGGUGGCCCUUUAGCGGCGGUUCGUGCAGAACCGGUACUAAAGAGAGGGGGACCUUUAAUCCCCUCCCUUUAGUGCCGGUUGCAGAACCGGCACUAAAGGUCCUUACGAAUCGGUGAUACAUCUCGGUUCUGCACUAGUGUACUCUAGCAAAACUAGCCAGACUAUUACUUGCCUUAUUCUGAGAGCGAGAAAUAUGAGUAAUACAAGUUUGUCUAAGGCGCAAUAAAAAUCUAAUUUCAUUUACCAAGGAGGCAUAAACCGACCGGUCCACUGCAUCACAUGAAAUCAUGGACACAGUCACUUCCGAGUCCACCUCGAUGACAAUGGGAAUUUCAGUCCUCUGAAUGGCUAAUGAUAGACCUUCUAUGCACGCGCGCAACUCCGCGUCUCCGCUUCUAGAGCAUCUAUGCAAGCUAAGAAUAAGACCGUCCCCAUAUUAUUACGUAGUAUCAUUCCAGCGCCUGCACUAUUAUUCGAAACAUAAGAGCCAUCAGUAUUUAAUUUCAUCCAACCAUGCACUGGCGGCAUCCAUACCGGAGAAAUGUUUUAACGUGGAGCUAGCACUGGUGCAGGUCACCGGUCAUAUGAAAUAAUGGUUUUGUCCUUUAUCGGAUCAACAUCAGUAUUCAGCGUGACACCAAUCAACUCAUCCAGAUAUCUCUGCAGAAAUUUGACAGAUACUUCCAUGGUCGGUUCUGGUCUGUGGUGGUUCACGACCGUGGAGACGCGUGACGCAGAGUGUCCGCGGCGCGGUGACGUAGUCGUGCGUAGAAGCAUGCGGCGACGUUGGACGGAGGCGUUCAAGACGACGACAGACAACGAGCCGUGUCAAGAUUGGAAGGAAAAUUGUUAGCCAUGAUCUUGCAUGCAUGUUGUUAAAUGGUUGUUAGCUACAUGCAUGGCUGGGUCAAGUGUGGCGGUUGAGAGAGUGGCUCACACCGGUGCCCUGCAUGUACUUAGUGGUUAGUUCGUGCGUGUGGGUGCUGACCGAGUAGUGAUAUUAGGUCUAGCUUGUUGCUCGGCUGUGCAUGCGUGAGGCUAUAUAAGAUGUGUGUCUGGUGUGUCCACAGAUUGACUUGGAGUAGUAGCUAUUGUUGGAAAUAUGAGCAAUUUACCAAAUGAUUUUAUUAACAGAAAUACUAGAUAAAACAUGACUAAUAUAAUAGAGAUAAAACAAGUCAUGCUUUCUGAGAGAAAGAAGGUAAAUAGCUUCUGCAUAUAUGAACCGUAGCCUAGCAUAUCUAUAGCAGACAGUAGAACUAGUUGCAUAUAUGAAGUAGAACCUAACAUAUGUAGAGCAAGUACUAGUACGAGAAAUUGUGGCAGGACAUCUAACAUAAAGAAGAACACGUACGGGACAGCAGCAGCAGUAGCACUGGACUUGCGGUCGGUGUCCUCACCAGCCAUGUCGCUGAGGAGGUUGUCGACGUCGGGGAAGAAGUCGUCGUCGGGGAAGUAGUCGACGGAGUCCGGGGCGUCCGUGUCGAAGGAGUCAGUCAGUAGUCGCGCAGAGCGCUCCCCAAAAACCUUAUCACCCUUCUCCCGUACAUGACUCAAAGAGGUGCGGUUUCGGAGGCCUACUGCCCCGACGUGCGGUGCACGCCGCAAGCCGGGAUGAGGAAGAUAGCAGCAGCUCAGAGAUAGAACCGAUGGCGAGAGAAAGGAGAAGUUCUGGUGCGUCUCUCUGGGAGGAGCGACCUCCCUUUUAUAGGCGCAAGAGAAGGAGGCGAGAGGGCAGUGACGGAAGGUGAAACGAAGAGACGGAGGCGAAGCGAACAGCCAGCAGCCGAAGGGCUGCACCGUUCGCAUUCGAACUCCACUUUCACAAAAAUCUUUUCAGCUUCCGUGUGACCUUUCAUAUACCCGUAGUGCGUGGCAAAAAUUUAGAUAUCGGCUCGGCUCAUUUCCGCAACCCGCGGCACGUUGUGGCGUGGCGUGGCGGGCGGCGGAGGAGGAGCGCGCGUGGAUAUCCCUCUUGUUCUCAUGUUCGUACAAGUGGGGAAAGAACCUCCCUUAUAAGGAGGUCCAACUCCCACUAAACUAGCAAUGUGGGACUAAACUUUAGUAGUAUCCCUUGCCUUGCACAAAUGGGCUAAGUGGGCCUCUAGAAUUUAUUAGGAAUUUCUGAAAUAGUUAUUGGGCUGCCCAAAAUAGACUAAAUUUCAGCAAUCCCCCACCAGAUCCCAGAGGCACACAGAAAUUUGCCUUUGGUUCCAAAACACUGUUUUAUAUACCGGUACUGUAGUGGAGACUGUUAAGUUGAACUUCCACCUAGAACUCUAUGCUACACUAGUAAGCAACUUGAACAGUGGACUGGGCCUUGAAGUGCAAGUUUUUUGUGAAUCUAUCUUCACAUAAAGUCUUGACCGAUACGUGGCUACCGCGGGUCUUCUCAGUGGGUGGAGCUUAUGCGUCAUACUUCGUGACCUUUUACAUUUGACAAUCAGACUCAUAUGGGUGUGUUCUUCAAAAGAUGUUCUGCAGGCUAACAUCUCUGCUUAAAUAAGCCACUUAGAACACAUUAAGAUAUACAUCAACCUGCCAUGCAGAUUAGGAGAGUAUUGCAUCUUCAUGGAGUGGUAUUGUGAAUAGUAAGGAUACUCUCCUCUCAGUUGACCAACAAUUUGUCUUCCACAUCUAAUUCACGGGAUCUCCGAUCAUAAUGAAUAGGUUACCACUGUGAACAACUCAUAUUGUGGGUCUAGUGCUGUGAGUUCUGCUUCCAUUGUUGACCUCGUUAAGAUGGUCUGCUUGCAAGACUUCCAAGAAACAGCGCCACCUCCAUGAGUGAAUACAUAACUGCUCGUGGCCUUUAUAUCAUCAGCAUCUGAGAUCCAGUUUGAGUCACUAUACCCUUCAAGCACCUUUGGAUGCCCGGUGUAGUGAAUUCCAUAAUUUGCAGUGCCUUUCAAAUAACGCAAAACUCUCUCUAGAGAUUUCCAAUGCACAUCUCCUGGUUUUGAGACAAACCGACUCAGUUUGCUAACAACAAAAGAGAUGUCAGGUCUUACAGCACUUGCUAAGUACAUAAAUGAGCCAAUAAUCUGAGAAUAUUUCAAUUGAUCUCUAGCAAUUCUUCAAUUCUUUCCAAGUAACACACUCGCAUCAUAUGGUGUUGGAGAGGGCUUGCAGUCACUAUAGCCAAAGCGACUCAAGAUCUUUUCCACAUAGUGAGAUUGAAGCAAUGUAAUCCCAACAUCAUAGUCUCUCAACAACUUGAUGUUCAGAAUGACAUCAGCCACUCCUAAAUCCUUCAUCUCAAAACAACGAGAUAGGAAAACCUUGACCUCCUUAAUAACAUUCAGAUUUGUUCCGAAAAUCAGCAUGUCAUCAACAUACAAGCACAGGAUAACUCCCUCGCCCCCACCAUGGCGAUAGUACACACAUUUGUCAGCUUCGUUCGCAACAAAGCCUGCAGCUGUUAAAGUUCUUUCAAACUUCUCAUGCCACUGUUUGGGUGCUUGCUUAAGUCCGUACAAAGACUUCAGCAACUUGCACACUUUCCCUUCCUGACCAUCUAGUACAAACCCAUCUGGUUGUUCCAUAUAAAUUUCCUCGUCCAACUCUCCAUUUAGGAAAGCAGUCUUAACAUUCAUUUGAUGAACGAGAAGACCAUGCGAGGCAGCUAGUGAAAGUAGAACUCGAAUAGUGGUCAGUCGAGCCACAGGUGAGUAAGUAUCAAAGAAGUCUCCACCUUCCUUUUGGGUAUAACCCUUAGCCACGAGCCGAGCCUUGUACUUUUCAAUAGUACCAUCAGGCCUAAGCUUCUUCUUGAAUACCCAUUUGCAUCCUAUAGGUUUGCACCCAUAAGGAUGAUCAGUUAUCUCUCAGGUUUCAUUCGCCAAGAUGGAAUCCAUCUCGCUACGAACCGCUUCCUUCCAGUAGUCAGCAUCUUCAGAUGCAUAGGCCUCUGAAAUAGAACUGGGAGUGUCAUCUAUGAGAUACACAAGAAAAUCAUCACCAAAGGACUUUGCAGUCCUCUGUCUCUUGCUCCUAGUAGGAACUUCAUUGUUCUCCUCCACAGGACUUUCAAAGUGUUCCAUCGAAAUGGCAGGUUCGGUAAUUGUAACUGGUCCCUAAUUCGAUGAACUAGGCAUCUCCUGAUUAGAUGAGGUAGCCAUAUCCUUCAUGGGAAAGAUAUCUUCAAAGAAAGUCGCAUCAUUCGACUUCAUGAUCGUACCGACAUGUAUGUCAGGUACCUCAGAUUUUACAACCAAUAAUCUAUAGCCAAUGCUAUGAAAAGCAGAUCCCAAGAAAACACAAUCCACAGUCUUUGGUCCAAGCUUCCGCUUCUUUGGAAUUGGAACAUUGACUUUCGCCAAACAACCCCAUGUUCGUAGAUAAGAGAGUUUUAACCUUUUCUUCUCCCAUUCCUCGAAUGGAGUUAUCUCUUUGUUCUUUGUGGGAACUCGGUUUAGGACAUGACAUGCAGUCAAUAUCGUCUCCCCCCACCAUGCCUUGGAGAGACCCGAAGUGUCUAACAUGGCGUUAACCAAAUCUGUUAGAGUACGGUUCUUUCUUUCAGCCACCCCAUUUGACUGAGGUGAAUAGGGAGGCGUCCUCUCAUGGAUUAUACCAUGUUCCGCACAAAAAGCAUCAAAUUCAUUGGAAAAAUACUCUCCACCACGAUUGGACCUAAGCCUCUUGAUUUUUCGAUCAAGUUGGUUUUCCCCUUCAGCUUUAUAGAUCUUGAAAAAGUUCAAAGCCGCAUCCUUAGAUUUCAGAAGAUACACAUGGCAGUAUCUAGUGGAGUCAUCAAUUAACUUCAUGAAAUAUUUCUUUCCACCUUUUGUCAAAACACCAUUCAUUUCACAUAGAUCUGAAUGUAUGAGCUCUAGUUGUGCAAGAUUUAUCGUUUCCGCAGUCGUGUGAGACUUACGAGGUUGCUUAGCUUGCACACACACUUGACACUUAGAUCCCUUGACAGUGGUGAAACUAGGGAUUAAGUUCAACUUCGCUAGUCGUGACAUGCAACCAAAGUUAACAUGACAAAGACGUGAAUGCCACACAUUUGAUUCACUAUUGUUGCAAAUAUGAUUAACAACUUUAUUGCAAACGUCUGAUAAGGAUAAACGAAAUAGGCCUCCUGACUCAUAGCCUUUACCAACAAAGGUUCCAUACUUGGAUAUUACAAAUUUAUUUGACUCAAAGACAAGCUUGUAGCCAUCUCUACACAGAAGAGAUCCGCUAACAAGAUUUUUAUUGACGGAGGGGACAUAAUGCACGUUCUUCAGCCGCAUGAUCUUCCCCGAAGUAAACUUCAGAUCGACCAUGCCAACACCACGAACAUAAGCACUUGAACCAUUGCCCAUCAGCACGGUUGAAGUCCCCGUGGUCUAAUAAGAUGAAAAUAUGGAAAUAUCACCGCAUACAUGCACAUUAGCACCCGUGUCAAUCAACUAGUCAGGAGAAUGACAUACUGAAAGAAUAGUGGGAAAUAUACCAUACCCAGCAUCCUUCAUGUCAGUGUCUUCAAUGACAACAUUAGCGGUCUUGCCGCCUUUCCUAGGAUGACGCUUGUCAUAGCGAUUAGGGCAACUAGGAGCCCAAUGAUCAGGAUCCCCACACACAUGACAAGCACUUUUCUUGUUGCCAUUCUUCUUCUUGAAGUUCGUGUGUUGCACAGCCUUGUUCUUCCCAUCAAACUUUGCUUUAUCAUCAAACUUGCCCUUGUUCUUGAACUUGUGGGGCUGAAAGUUUUGCUUCUGUACCACAUUGGCACUAGAUCCUCGCUCGAUACCUCGAGCACGUGUGUCCUUUGCUAUCGCCUUUUCUUCCACAUCAAGAGUGCCAAUGAGAUCCGGAACGGAAAACUCCUGCCUCUUAUGCUUCAGUAAGGUAGCAAAGUUCCUCCACAAAGGAGGAAGCUUAGUGAUGAUACCUCCGGCAACAAACUUGUCCGGUAGCACACAACUGAAGUGCUCAAGUUCUCUAGCAAAUGACUGUAUCUCAUGAGCUUGCUCAACCACGGAGCGCUCUUCAGUCAUCCUGUAAUCAUAGAAUUGCUCCAUGAUGUACAGCUCAGUGCCAGCAUCCGAGACCCCAAACUUGGCCUCGAGUGCAUCCCACAUAUCUUUUCCAUUAUCAAUUGACGCAUAAGCAUCAACUAUGUUCUCACCAAAACACUCAAGAGAGCAGCCUUAAACAGAGUAUUCAUUUUGUGAAAGGCUUGUGCCUGUUGAGCAUGAAGCUCCCCUUCAAGUUUGCCAAGAGUGGCGUCAUAGCAACUCAUGGUUUGAAACCAUAAGACUGCUCUCACGCGCCACCUCUUAUAGUGGAUACCCUCAAACAUAGGAGGUCUCAUGGAAGCAGCAAAACCACUUGGUGUAAAUUGCCUAUAAUAAGGUUUUUGGAUUGUUGGAAAUAUGAGCAAUUUACCAAAUGAUUUUAUUAACAGAAAUACUAGAUAAAGCAUGACUAAUGAUUUACCCGUAGUGCGUGGCAAAAAAUUAGAUAUCGGCUCGGCUCAUUCCCGCAACCCGCGGCGCGGCGCGGCAAGGCGGGCGGCGGAGGAGGAGCGCGCGUGGAUAUCCCUCUUGUUCUCAUGCUCAUACAAGUGGGGAAAGAACCUCCCUUAUAAGGAGGUCCAACUCCCACUAAACUAGUAAUGUGGGACUAAACUUUAGUAGUAUCUCUUGCCUUGCACAAAUGGGCUAAGUGGGCCUUUAGGAUUUAUUAGGAAUUUCUGAAAUAGUUAUUGGGCUGCCCAAAAUAGACUAAAUUCCAGCAGCUAUGAGAAACAAUGUAGUCUCCAGUGGUCUCUCAUGUGGGUGUGCCCGUGGUGGUUGUCGGGGCUGCAUGCCUCCGAGGAAUAGUGUUGGAAAUCUCCGCCGGAGCCCUCGAUGAGGACACUCACGGGUUGGCGGGCGACGGUGAUGAUGAGGGCUCGCUUGUCGUUGGCGGCCACACGCUCGAAGCCGGUGAUGGAGACCGCUUUCAGGCAGGCGGCAUAGUGGUCGUCGUUGCUAGGCUCCGGGGGGAGCCCCCCACCUGAAUGUUCCUAUUGAUUUUAUCUGUCACAGGGGCGAAAGUUACACAAUGGAGGAGAGAAUUCAUUUUACAUCAUGAGGCUAAGCCCUCCCAACAUCAACUAAUUAUCGGCAGAGACGCACGCAUCAAGGAGGUGAAUGCUCGCAGCCAAGUAUCACCGUCAGAUCAUGCGUCCCUCCACAUAUGCCCACGCCAAAGGACGGGGUUUUCCCUACAGCGCGCGCGAUGUUUUCCACGAAUAUCUUGAAGCGCAUGUCAUCGCCACCGGUUCCUAUUGAAGUCGACCCCCAACGCGCGACCCAGUCGUGAUACAACAUGCGCUCGUCGGCCGGACGAGGAGUAGGUCAGCAGAAGCAUCAAGGACAGAAGGGUAAGAGCCGCUAGAGCCAAGCCCCGACCUGUCGCCAUUGUGGUGGUGGUUUAUGAGCUAGGAUGCUCUGUUCGUGUGUGUGGUUGUAGCUAGGCUUUGGCAGUGGCGCCGGUAUUUAUAGCAGGCCGACCUGAGAAGAGUAGGGCACUACACUGACUGUAGUAGCUAGGGAGGGAGGGUUAGCAACUUGUGAGCGAUCGAUCUAGUCCUUGGAUUGCUCGCUCGCUUGCUCGAUAUAUAUGGACCUUGUUAAAUGCGAUACAUGUGGCACAAAGAAAUUCCAUCCAGACGUUUUUUGAUGGUAACUUUAGCUAAAAGAAGAUAGCAACUUUCUGCUUUUUUCGAAAAGGGGGGGGGGGCUUCCCGGCCUCUGCAUCAGAACGAUGCAUACGCCCACCUUUAUAAAAAACAAAUAAGUUCAACAAGGUCUUGUAGUCUCAAAAAUGUAAAUGAAAGCUCACAAAGAGCCAAUAAAAACGGCCACAAAAGCCACAACCCGCUGGCACAAAAAAGAUAGGAAAACUAAUUGCCUAUCCUAUUACAUGACCGCCAUCCAAACCGGUUGAAUAUAUCCCGUGCUAUCAUCUCUCACCGGAUAGAUCCAGUAACCAAACGCUCCCUGGCCUCCGUCGGAGUGAGUAGCGACCACCUACGAAUCAAAGCAGUGGCCUGGAAGAUAACCUGCAAAAAAUAAAUAUUUGAUGUUCGGUUAAAGACGAAAUCAUUUCUGCAAUUCCACACAGCCCACAAGCACAUACUCCUACGCGAAUGUGGCACGUCGUUUCGAACUCUAUCCCGUUAAGCCAUGUUCCAAAUAACGAGCUGACAGAGCUCGGAGGAGUAAUAUUAAAAGCUAUGUGCACCGUCCGCCAUAGAACCUUAGCCAACGGGCAAUCUAGAAAGAGGUGUUUGAUAGUUUCAUCCCGAUCACAGAAGCUACACCUAGUAGGUCCUGUCCAGUUACGCUUUGCCAGAUUUUCUUUAGUUAAGAUGACUUGUUUAUGUACAAACCACAUAAACACUUUGAUUUUCAACGGAACCUUGACUUUCCAGACAUAUUUGGAACUAGGAAUGUAGCUAGAAUUGAUAACAUCAAGAUACAUUGAUUUAACUGUGAACUCCCCAGUCCUAAUAAGGUUCCAGCGUAACUUAUCGGGUUGUUGAGAUAGCUGAACCUCCAUCAGUCUACUCACUAAAUGAAUCCAUGCUUCCCAACGAUUGCCAAAUAGCGUCCUUCUGAAUUGAAUAUUAAGGGGGACGGACUGGAGUACUGUUGCAACGUAAGCCUCGCGUCGUUGAACAAUACUAUAAAGAGACGGGUAUUGAAGCGCAAGGGGUGUCUCUCCUAGCCAAGUAUCCUCCCAGAAUCGCAUGCUAGAGCCAUUUCCGACAAUAAACUUUGUCCUAUUGAAAAAUGCUGCUUUAACUCUCAUGAGCCCUUUCCAAAAAGGCGAAUCCAGCGGCCUCGCUGUCACCUAGGACAAUGUUUUGGAUUGGAGAUACUUACUACGGAGAAUCUACGCCCAUGUGGCCUCAGUCUCAACAGAUAACUUAUACAACCACUUACUGAGAAGACAUAUGUUCUUGACUUCAAGGUUUUCAAUCCCAAGACUCCCUUGGUCUUUUGGUCGACAAAUGAUAUCCCAUUUGGCAAGUUUGUAUUUUCUUUUUAGCUCAUCACUCUGCCAGAAGAAACAAGAUCGAUAGAAGUCCAGUCUUUUCCUUACUCCAACUGGAACCUCGAAAAAGAUAAGAGAAACAUAGGCAUACUCAUGAGAAGCGGAUUAAUAAGAAUUAAUCGGCCUCCAUAUGACAUGAGCUUGCCCUUCCAGCAACUCAGUUUCUUCUCAAAUCGAUCCUCGAUACACUUCCAUUCUCUGUUUGUCAGCUUACGAUGAUGAAUUGGUAUACCUAAAUACGUAAAAGGUAAACUCCCCAAUUCACAUCCAAACAAUUGCAUAUAAGCCUCUUGUUAAUCUUUGGCUCUUCCAAAACAGAACAAUUCGCUUUUAUGAAAGUUAAUCUUUAACCCGGUCAAUUGUUUAAAUAAGCAUAACAACAGCUGCAUAUUUCUCGCUUUCGCCAAGUUAUGCUCCAUAAAGAUGAUCGUAUCAUCGGCGUACUGUAGGAUAGAAACACCUCCAUCCACUAGGCGAGGCACCAGACCACCCACCUGGCCAGCCUCCUUAGCCCUUCCUAUUAAAAUUGCCAACAUAUCAACUACAAUGUUGAACAAAAUAGGAGACAUUGGGUCACCUUGUCGCAGCCCUUAUGUGUCUGGAAAUAAUGACCUAUGUCGUCAUUCACUUUAAUUCCAACACUCCCUUUUUGUGUGAAAGAUUCUACCUGGCGUCGCCAGGCUUCAUCGAAACCUUUCAUGCGUAAGGCCUGUUGAAGGAACGAUCAUUUGACUUUAUCGUACGCCUUCCCGAAAUCCAUCUUGAAAACCACUCCAUCAAGUUUUUUCGAAUGGAUUUCGUGGAGCGUUUCAUGAAGGACGACAACCCCUUCAAGGAUGUUUUUGUCCGGCAUGAAAGCAGUUUGGGAGUGCUGCACCAUAGAGUGUGCAAUUUGCGUGAGCCUAUUCGUCCCAACCUUGGUUAAAAUUUUGAGACUAACAUUAAGAAGACAGAUCGGCCUGAACUGCUCAAUCCUCACAGCCUCUGUUUUCUUAGGAAGUAGGGUUAUCGUUCCAAAAUUCAGGUGAAAUAGUUGAAGCUCCCAGAGAAUAAAUCAGGUUACAUCGGUACAAAUCCCCCUUAAUAAUAUGCCAGCACUUUUUAUAAAACUUCGCCGAAAAGCCAUCCGGCCCAGGAGCCUCAUUAUUUUUCAUUUGAGAGAUAGCUUCAAACACCUCCUUCUCCGAAAAUGGGGCGGUUAAAAUCUCAUUCUCAUUAGCGGCAAGUUGAGGAACAUGCUCAAUCCGAGACUCAUCCAGGGAUACACUAUUGUCCUCCGGAGGCCCAAAUAACUGCUUGCAGUAUUCGGUAAUGUAAAGCUUUAAGUUCUCCUGUCCUAAAAUCAUCCCUUCAUCCUGUUCAAGCUGAAAGAUUCUCUUCUUUCUAUGCUUGCCAUUAGCGAUCAUGCGAAAGAAUUGAGUGUUUGCGUCCCCCUGGACGACUUUGCGAACCUUUGACCGCAGCGCCCAUUUCAAUUCCUCCUCAUGGAGAAGCUCUUUCAACCUCAUCUCCGCCUCAAGCUUUGCAUGAAUCUCCGUGGCUUGAAGAAUUGUGGACUCGGCUAUGAGAUCCGGUGACUGAAUAAGUGUAAGGAGCCUCUCCUUUUCAGCCUUAUAAAUCCCACUAAGAUGCUUAGCCCACCCACGCAAGAAACUUCUCAAGUGCCUUAUCUUAUUCUGCCAACGCUCAAUCGCAGUCCUUCCUCCUGUAUCCCUAGCCCAUUCCCUGGCUACCAGAUCCAAGAAGCCCUCUCAUUCAAACCAAGCCAUUUCGAACAAAAAGGAAAUUUUGUUUCCCGUGUGAGUGGCCUCGCCAGAGUCCACGAACAGAGGCGUGUGGUCGGAAAUACCACGUGAAAGCGCUUGGACCGUAACCAAAGGAAAUUUCUGUUCCCAUUCGACGCUCACAAGGACUCGAUCCAACUUCUCAAACGUCGGAUUUGGCAAAUUAUUAGCCCAAGUAAAAUUUCUACCCGAAAGCUCUAUCUCUCAUAGAUCCAAGCUUUCAAUAAUGCUAUUAAACAUGAACGACCACCUACCGUCGAAAUUAUCAUUGUUCUUUUCCUCUCUUCUUCUAAUAAUGUUGAAGUCACCCCCAACCAGGAUUGGAAGCUGCCCGGAACCGCAAAUGCGAACAAGAUUUGCCAAAAACUCUGGUUUAAGUUCGGGCUGUGCGGCACCAUAAACCGCCACUAGAGGCCAAUUAAACCCAUCAUCAUUCGAUCUAACCCGGAACUUAACUGCAAAGUCUCCCAUCAUGACACUUCGGACUUCGAGCGAAUCGCAUCUAACUCCAAGUAAGAUCCCACCCGAUCUGCCUCUCGGAGGCAAGCAAUGCCAAUCAAAAUCGACACCACCCAAUAAAGUACUAAGAAACUGGGGUGCGAAAUUAUCUCUACCAGUUUCCGAGAGAGCAAUAAAAUCCAACCUAUGCUCGAUAGACGCAUCUGCAAGAAACCUUUGUUUAGCCAAGUCUCUCAGACCUCUGCUAUUCCAAAAGAUUCCUUUCAUAUUUCAUCAUGAAUUUUUUUAGUAGUACAGAUCCUAGCACUCCUAUGCACCGCUGACGCACGAUAGAUCUUCCGCUUCCACUUACGUUUAGGCUUGUGUUGAUCCUCCACCCGGUCCUCACAACCGGGCUUCGUGGGCCUAACUACCGCGUCAACAAAAAUAUCAUCCUCUUCCUCUGACUCAGGAUGGGAUGGUGCAAGAUCCGCAUAGAGAUUAUCGAGUACCCUGACCCCCAAAGCAUCUAUCUUAGAAUCAUUCAUAGGCCUAACUGCAGCUAAGUUAUGAAUCAUUUCAAUAGCGCGUUCCACUUCCAAAUCCAGCAUAUCAUUAACAGAGUUAGAGAUUUCACUAUCAUUACUCCCUAGUGAAACUCCUAAAUGAUUUGCAUUAUUAAUAAUCUCAUCAUUAGAAAAAUGCAAAAUGGAAUUAGGGAUGUUGACCGACAUACCAGUAGUGGCCUCAAUGCCACGAAGCUUGGCCGCCCUCAUGGCGCACCACUCCUGCAUGUCAUCAACCUCCGGAAGAUCCUCGAGAAGACAACUCAUUCGUCGGCCCAUAGAAAUCGGAUUUGGAAUCCCUCCAAAAGCAAUGACCUCCUCCUGGGAAGCGGUCGUCAUCUCCCUCAAAUCGAGGCCUGGGGUCACCGGUGCGCCGGAUGCGGGAAGCAAAAGGGCCUCCUGUCCGUGCUCCCCUGCCCCUCCGGUCCUCUGGCUGGUGGGCGUGGUGGGCGACACCAGAGGCACGGCCACCCUAGUCGCCAGAGAAGAGGCAGGAGUCGAGGCCACCUGGCCCGGACUCCCCCCCAGCCUCAUCGCCGCAAGUGGAGAAGGGGGAGUCGAGGCCACCUGCCCCGGACUCCCCCAACCUCAUCGCUGCAAGUGGAUAACGGGGAGCCGAGGCCACUGAUAACCCACAAGUAUAGGGGAUCGCAACAGUUUUCGAGGGUAUAGUAUUCAACCCAAAUUUAUUGAUUCGACACAAGGGGAGCCAAAGAAUAUUCUCAAGUAUUAGAAGCUGAGUUGUCAAUUCAACCACACCUGAAAACUUAGUAUCUGCAGCAAAGUGUUUAGUAGCAAAGUAAUAUGAUAGUGGUGGUAGCGGUAACAAAAGUAAAGACAGGAAAAGUAAUGUUUUUGGUAUUUUGUAGUGAUUGUAACAGUAGCAACAGGAAAGUAAAAAAGCAUAAACCAGUAUAUGGAAAACUCGUAGGCACCGAAUCAGUGAUGGAUAAUUAUGCCGGAUGCGGUUCAUCAUGUAACAGUCAUAACAUAGGGUGACACAGAACUAGCUCCAACUCAUCAAUGUAAUGUAGGCAUGUAUUCCGUAUAUAGUCAUACGUGUUUAUGGAAAAGAACUUGCAUGACAUCUUUUGUCCUACCCUCCCGUGGCAGCGGGGUCCUAUUGGAAACUAAGGGAUAUUAAGGCCUCCUUUUAAUAGAGAACCGGAACAAAGCAUUAGCACAUAGUGAAUACAUGAACUCCUCAAACUAUGGUCAUCACCGGGAGUGGUCCCGAUUAUUGUCACUUUGGGGUUGCCGGAUCAUAACACAUAGUAGGUGACUAUAGACUUGCAAGAUAGUAUCUAGAACUCACAUAUAUUCAUGAAAACAUAAUAGGUUCAGAUCUGAAAUCGUGGCACUCGGGCCCUAGUGACAAGCAUUAAGCAUAGCAAAGUCAUAGCAACAUCAAUCUCAGAACAUAAUGGAUACUAGGGAUCAAACCCUAACAAAACUAACUCGAUUACAUGAUAAAUCUCACCCAACCCAUCACCAUCCAGCAAGCCUAUGAUGCAAUUACUCACGCACGGCGGUGAGCAUCAUGAAAUUGGUGAUGGAGGAUGGUUGAUGAUGACGACAGCGAUGAAUCCCCCUCUCCGGAGCCCCGAACGGACUCCAGAUCAGCCCUCCCGAGAGGUUUUAGGGCUUGGCGGCGGCUCCGUAUCGUAAAACGCGAUGACUUCUUCUCUGUGAUUUUUUCUCUCCAAAAGCAAAUAUAUAGAGUUGGAGUUGGCUUCGGAGGGUCAACAGGAGGCCCACGAGGUUGGGGGGCGCGCCCUAGGGGGGGCGCCCCCACCGUCGUGGAAAGGGUGUGGGACCCCUGGUCUUCAUAUUUGGCGAGGAUUUUUUUAUUUUUUCUAAGACCUCCCGUGGAGUUUCAGGUCAUUCCGAGAAUAUUUGUUUUCUGCACAUAAAACAACACCAUGGUAAUUCUGCUAAAAACAACGUCAGUCCGGGUUAGUUCCAUUCAAAUCAUACAAGAUAGUCCAAAACAAGGGCAAAAGUGUUUGGAAAAGUAGAUACGACGGAGACGUAUCAACUCCCCCAAGCUUCAACCCUUGCUUGUCCUCAAUCAAUUCAGUUGACAAACUGAAAGAAAGAAAGAAAAACUUUUACAAACUCUGUUUGCUCUUGUUGUUGUAACUAUGUCAAGCCAGCAUUCAAGUUUUCAGCAUAGAUCAUAACUAACCACAUUUGCAAUAAUUCUCAGGUCUCAUCAUUACUCAUAUCAAUAGCAUAAUCAACUAGCAAGUCAUAAUAAUAAAUCUCGGAUGACAACACUUUCUCAAAACAAUCAUAAUAUGAUAUAAUAAGAUGGUAUCUCGCUAGCCCUUUUUGAGACCGCAAAACAUAAAUCAGAGCACCUUAACUAGACAUUGUAAUUCAUGGUAAAAGAGAUCCAAUCAUAGUCAUACCCAAUAUAAAUUAACAGUGAUGAAUGCAAAUGACGGCUGUGCUCUCCAGCUAGUGCUUUUUAAUAAGAGGGUGAUGACUCAACAUAAAAAUAAAUGGAUAGGCCCUUCGCAGAGGGAAGCAGGGAUUUGUAGAGGUGCCAGAGCUCAGUUUUGAAAUAGAGAUACAUUGUAUUUUGAGCGGUAUACUUUCAUUGUCAACGUAACAACUAAGAGAUGGCGAUAUCUUCCAUGCUACACACAUUAUAGGCGGUUCCCAAACAGAAUGGUAAAGUGUAUACCCCCCUCCACCAACAAGCAUCAAUCCAUGGCUUGCUCAAAACAACGAGUGCCUCCAACAUACAUCAGGUCCCAGGGGGAGUUUUGUUUGCAAUUAAUUUUGAUUUAGUUUGCAUAAAGCAUGGGACUGGGCAUCCCGGUGACCAGCCAUUUUCUCGUGAGUGAGGAGCGGAGUCCACUCCUCUUGAGAAUAACCUGCCUAACACGUAAGAUAAGGACAACCUUUGUUGGUACAUGAGCUAUUCGAGCAUACAAAACAGAAUGUUUAUUUGAAGGUUUAGAGUUUGGCACAUACAAAUUUACUUGGAAUGGCAGGUAGAUACCGCAUAUAGGAAGGUAUAGUGGACUCAUCUGGAAUAACUUUGGGGUUUAGGGGAUUGGAUGCACAAGCAGUAUUCCCGCUUAGUACAAGUAAAUGCUAGCAAAAGACUGGGAAGCGACCAACUAGAGAGCGACAGCAGACAUGUACAUGCAUUAAAAUUAAUAAACAUUGGAUGCAAGCAUGAGUAGGAUAUAAUCCACCAUGAACAUAAAUAUCAUGAAGGCUAUGUUGAUUUUGUUUCAACUACAUGCGUGAACAUGUGCCAAGUCAAGUCACUUGAAUCAUUCAAAGGAGGAUACCACCUCAUCAUACCACAUCAUAACCAUCUCAAUAGCAUGUUGGCACACAAGGUAAAUCAUUAUAACUCAUAGCUAAUCAAGCAUGACACAAGCAAUUCUGAUCUCUAAUUGUCAUUGCAAACAUGUUUAUUCAUAAUAAGCUGAAUCAAGAACGACGGGCUCAUCAUAUUUACAAAAACAAAAGAGGUCGAGUUCAUACCAGCUUUUCUCAUCUCAGUCAGUCCAUCAUAUAUCAUCAUAAUUUCCUUUCACUUGCACGACCGAACGGUGUGAAUAAUAAUAAGAGUGCACGUGCAUUGGACUAAGCUGGAGUCUGCGAGCAUUCAAUAAACAAGAGAAGACAAGGCAAUAUGGGCUCUGGUUAAAUCAACAAUAAUGCAUAUAAGAGCCACUUCAACAAUUUAAUUAUGGUCUUCUCCUACUGACCCCUAAAGAAAAGAAAAGAAAUAAAACUAUUUACACGGGAAAGCUUCCAACAAGAAAAAGAAGAACAGGAAAUAUUUUUGGGUUUUCUUUUUAAUUAUUACUACUACAGCAAAAAAAUAAACUAAUACUAAUUUUUUUGGUUUUUCUUAAGGUUUAACAAGCAAACAAGAAGAAAGCAGGAAAAAGAAAAUGAACUAGCAUGGAUAUUACAGUGAAAAAGUAUGAGCACCGACAUCUAGCAAUGAGUGUGUGUGAACAUAAAUGUAAUGUCGGUGAGAAAUACGUACUCCCCAAGCUUAGGCUUUUGGCCUAAGUUGGUCUAUGGCCACGGCUGGCCUGGUGGAUAUCCAUAAUAAUAGUUGUUGGGGUCGUACUGUGACAAGGAGGAAGAAGGCUCCGAUUGCCACUGGCCGGCAAUCAUCUCGGGAUCCCACUGAUAGUUAGACUGUCGUGAAGGAUCAAAUUGUGGUUCCGGUUCUGGCUCCUUAGCUGGUGCAGGGUUUCGAUAGGCGUGAAUAGCCAUCAACGAAACAAGGUACGUGCCUACAGUCAAAUCAAACAAAGAAGGAGCAGGCAAGGUAAUAGUCUCAGGAUGAUGUUUAUUAAAGAACAAUUGAUAUCUAAGCUCCCCUGCCCUAUUCUUAACAAUAAAAUCAUGUGCGAACAUACUUUUAUGAUCUAGAUAAACACGGGGUAGCACUUUUUCUUCCUUCUCAGCAUGCCUAAUAGGUAUGUUAAAAUGUGCGGCUAGGCGUGUGGCAUAAAUGCCUCCAAAGAUGGGGCCCUUAGUACGGUUCAUAUUUAACCGUCUAGCAAUAAUACCGCCCAAACUAAAAGUGUUAUUACUAUAUAAACCCUGGAGCAGACUAAUUAAAUCAGGGAUACUAAGGUUUCCAGAAUUUCCGCGUCCAAUUAAACAACGACUAGCAAAUAAUGCAAAGUAACACAAAACAGGAAAAUGUAUGCUAGUGAUUCGUGCAUCGGAAACCUUCCCGGUUUCUCCUACAGUGAUAUUAUCAAUAAACCCAGCCACAUCAUCAUGAUGUGGUUCUUCUGUCUUGUCCCCAAAAGGGACUAAGCGAAUCUGACAGAAAUCAUAAAGUGACAUCUCCUUGGGCUCAUCAUAUAAAUGAAAUUCCACCGUAGGUGGUGAGUUCCUAGGAUAAAAAUAAAAGUUUUGCACAAAUGUAUUUGCGAGUAAGAGAUACUAAUCGCAUUGGUCAUGGAGGAAAGCGGUGAGGCCUGUGUUGUGAGCCAAUUCAUGAAAAUCUUCAUAGAUACCGGCUGCUCUCAAGAAAUCUUCAGAAGGCCAUUCACACGCCCGAAUCUCCGCGGUGCGUGGCAAAUUAUACUUAGGCUUAGGUGCCUUUUCCUUUGAGCUUUGGCUUGAUGAGCCCCUCAAUAAUCUUCUCACCAUUUUUCUGAAACAAUCUGAAAUUUUUAGUAACUUCAAAAUAAAAGUAAACCAAACUCAAUAAUAUUGAUAGCAUCUACUCCUACAAGUUCCUAGAGCCUAUAUCAAGCAUUAGAACUACUUGGAACCAUAUAAAUUUGACACGCAAGCUCAAGAACAUGGUCCUCCAUGCAGCACAAAUUUGCAAAGAAUAAAGCACAAGAACAAAAACUAAUUGGACCAAUGGAGGAGUCACAUACCAAGGAACAAUCUCCCCAAGCAGUUUUGCGAGAGGUGCUUUGAGCAAGGAGAUCGAAAAUCGCAGCAAAAGUGGCUGGAACUCGUGCUUGAGUUGGUUUUUCGGGUUUGUGUGAGAUAGAGGAAGAAGAUGGGUGCUGGGAUAAGUGGAGGAGGGCCACCGUGGGCCCACGAGACAGGGGGCGCGCCCUAUAGGGGGGGCGCCCACCACCCUCGUGACCAGGUGGCAGCUCCUCCCGCGGUAAUUUUUGCACAGUAAAUCCUCAAAUAUUCCCGAAAAAAUCAUAUUAAAUUGGCAUGUCAUUCUGAGGACUUUUAUUUUCGGGAUAUUUUUAUAUUGCACGGAUAAGUUAGGAAACAGACAGAAAAAUACUAUUUUUACUUUAUUUAAUAUAAAUAACAAGAAGUAUAAAGAAGGUGCAGAAGUUUGUGCUUCUAGUUUCAUCCAUCUCAUGCUCAUCAAAAAGAAUCCACUAACAAGGUUGAUCAAGUCUUGUUAACAAACUCAUUCUGAUAAUCAUGAAACCGGAGAAAUUUUGAAUAACACUAAGUUACCUCAACGGGGAUAUGCACAUCCCCAAUAAUAAGUAUAUCAUAUUUCUUCUUGACAGUAGGAAGAGGGAAUUCAAAACCUCCAAAUAUAAUCGAUGGAAUUUUUCCAAUAGAAUUGAUACUAUAAACUUGAGGUUGUUCCCUCGGAAAGUGUACCGUAUGCUCAUUACCAUUAACAUGAAAAGUGACAUUGCCUUUGUUGCAAUCAAUAACAGCCCCUGCAGUAUUAAGAAAAGGUCUUCCAAGAAUAAUAGACAUACUAUCGUCCUCGGGAAUAUCAAGUAUAACAAAGUCCGUUAAAAUAGUAACGUUUGCAACCACAACAGGCACAUCCUCAUAGAUACCGACAGGUAGAGCAGUUGAUUUAUCAGCCAUUUGCAAAGAUAUUUCAGUAGGUGUCAACUUAUUCAAGUCAAGUCUACGAUAUAAAGAGAGAGGCAUAACACUAACACCGGCUCCAAGAUCACAUAAAGCAAUUUUAAUAUAAUUUCUUUUAAUGGAGCAAGGUAUAGUAGGUACUCCGGGGUCUCCAAGUUUCUUUGGUAUUCCACCCUUAAAAGUAUAAUUAGCAAGCAUGGUGGAAAUUUCAGCUUCCGGUAUCUUUCUUUUAUUAGUAAUGAUAUCUUUCAUAUAUUUAGCAUAAGGAUUUGUUUUGAGCACAUCAGUUAAUCGCAUACGCAAAAAGAUAGGCCUAAUCAUUUCAGCAAAGCGCUCAAAAUCCUCGUCAUCCUUUUUCUUGGAUGGUUUCAAAGGAAAAGGCAUGGGUUUCUGAUCCCAAGGUUCCCUUUCUUUACCAUGUUUCCUAGCAACAAAGUCUCUUUUAUCAUAACGUUGAUUCUUUGAUUGUGGGUUGUCAAGAUCAACAGCAGGUUCAAUUUCUACAUCAUUGUUAUUACUAGGUUGAGCAUCAUCAUGAACAUCAUCAUUAAUUUUUUUACUAGGUUCAUGUUCAUUACCAGAUUGUGUUUCAGCAUUAGACAUAGAUAUAUCAUUUGCAUUAUCAGGUGGUUCAGCAAUAGGUUCACUAGAAGUUUGCAUAGUUCUAUCAUUUUUCUUCUUCUUCUUUUUAGAAGAACUAGGAACAUCGAUAUUAUUUCUUUGAUAAUCUUGCUCGAUUCUCUUAGGGUGGCCUUCAGGAUACAAAGGUUCCUGAGUCAUUCUAUCAGUUCUAGUAGCCACUCUAACAACAUAAUCAUUUUUAUUACUAUUCAUUUCAUCAAGCACUUCUUUUUGAGCUUUAAGUACUUGUUCUACUUGAGUGAUAACCAUAGAAGCAUGUUUGCUAAUAAGUUUAAGUUCACCUCUAAUAUCAGCCAUAUAAUCUCCCAAGCGUCUAAUCAUAUAAACAUUUUCUUUUAAUUGUCUACCAAAAUAAGCAUUGAAGUCAUCUUGCUUAUACAUAAAGUUAUCGAACUCAUCCAAGCAUUGACUAGCAAUUUUAGUAGGAGGGACUUCAGCUUUAUCAUAUCUAUAGAGAGAAUUUACCUUUACUACCUGUGUCGGGAUAUCGGGAUCAGGAGGUUCUUCAGUAAAUAAAUAAUUAAGAUCAUAUGCUUCUUCAAUAGGCGGUAUAUUAAGAUCAUGUAUUUCUUCAAUAGGAGGCAAAUUCGUAACGUCUUCAGCUUUAAUACCUUUUUCUUUCAUAGAUUUCUUUGCCUCUUGCAUAUCUUUGGGACUGAGAAAUAGAACACCUCUCUUCUUCGAAGUGGGUUUAGGAAUAGGCUCAGUAAUUGGAGCAGGAGUUGGCUCAGGAGCUGGCUCAGGAGGUGCCCAAUUAUUUUCAUUUGUCAACAUAUUAUUCAAUAGAAUUUCAGCUUCAUCCGGUGUUCUUUCCCUGAAAAGAGAACCAUCACAACUAUCCAGGUAAUCUCUGGAAGCAUCAGUUAGUCCAUUAUAAAAGAUAUCAAGUAUUUCAGGUUUCUUAAGAGGAUGAUCAGGCAAAGCAUUAAGUAACUUGAGAAGCCUCCCCCAAGCUUGUGGGAGACUCUUUUCUUUAAUUUGCACGAAGUUGUAUAUUUCCUUCAAAGCAGCUUGUUUCUUAUGAGCAGGGAAAUAUUUAGUAGAGAAGUAAUAAAUCAUAUCCUGGGGACUACGCACACAACCAGGAUCCAGAGAAUUAAACCAUAUCUUAGCAUCACCCUUUAAUGAGAACGGAAAUAUUUUGAGUAAAUAGAGGUAACGUGAUCUCUCAUUAUUAGUGAAUAGGGCAACUAUAUCAUUUAACUUAGUAAGAUGUGCCACAACAGUUUCAGAUUCAUCGCCAUAAAACGGAUCAGAUUCAACCAAAGUAAUUAUAUCAGGAUCAACAGAGAAUUCAUAGUCCUUAUCAGGAACACAUAUAGGUGAAGUAGCAAAAGCAGGGCCGAGUUUCAUUUUAUCUCUAAGUGAUUCUUUGUUCCAUUUAAUUAAUAACCUCUUAAGCUCAUAUCUAUCUCUGCAAGCUAAAAUAGGUAAGGAAGCAUCCCUAUCAAAAAGACAACCUUUAGGAAGAACAGGCAUGUUUUCAUCAUCACUAUCAUCAUCGUAUUCAGAUUCAAUAAUUUCUCUUUCUCUAGCCCUAGCAAUUUGUUCAUCAAGAAAUUCACAAAGGGGCACAGUAGUAUCAGGCAUAGAAGCAGUUUCAUCAUAAGUAUCAUGCAUAGCAGAAGUGGCAUCAUCAAUAACAUGCGACAUAUCAGAACGAAUAGCAAAAGCAGGUGUAGGUGUCGCAAACUUACUCAUAACAGAAGGUGAAUCAAGUGCUGAGCUAGAUGGCAGUUCCUUACCUCCCCUCGUAGUUGAGGGAUAGAUCUUGGUUUUAGGAUCUCUCAAGUUCUUCAUAGUGUCCAGCAGAUAUAAAUCCCAAGUGACUCAAAGAAUAGAGCUAUGCUCCCCGGCAAUGGCGCCAGAAAAAAGUUCUUGAUAACCCACAAGUAUAGGGGAUCGCAACAGUUUUUGAGGGUAGACUAUUCAACCCAAAUUUAUUGAUUCGAUACAAGGGGAGCCAAAGAAUGUUCUCAAGUAUUAGCAGCUGAGUUGUCAAUUCAACCACACCCGGAAACUUAGUAUCUGCAGCAAAGUGUUUAGUAGCAAAGUAAUAUGAUAGUGGUGGUAGCGGUAACAAAAGUAAAGACAGCAAAAGUAAUGUUUUUGGUAUUUUGUAGUGAUUGUAACAGUAGCAGCGGGAAAGUAAAUAAGCGUAAACCAGUAUAUGGAAAACUCAUAGGCACCGGAUCAGUGAUGGAUAAUUAUGCCGGAUGCGGUUCAUCAUGUAACAGUCAUAACAUAGGGUGACACAGAACUAGUUCCAGUUCAUCAAUGUAAUGUAGGCAUGUAUUCCGUAUAUAGUCAUACGUGCUUAUGGAAAAGAACUUGCAUGACAUCUUUUGUCCUACCCUCCUGUGGCAGCGGGGUCCUAUUGGAAACUAAGGGAUAUUAAGGCCUCCUUUUAAUAGAGAACCGGAACAAAGCAUUAGCACAUAGUGAAUACAUGAACUCCUCAAACUAUGGUCAUCACCGGGAGUGGUCCUGAUUAUUGUCACUUCGGGGUUGCCGGAUCAUAACACAUAGUAGGUGACUAUACACUUGCAAGAUAGGAUCUAGAACUCACAUAUAUUCAUGAAAACAUAAUAGGUCCAGAUCUGAAAUCAUGGCACUCGGGCCCUAGUGGCAAGCAUUAAACAUAGCAAAGUCAUAGCAACAUCAAUCUCAGAACAUAAUGGAUACUAGGGAUCAAACCCUAACAAAACUAACUCGAUUACAUGAUAAAUCUCAUCCAACCCAUCAUCGUCCAGCAAGCCUACGAUGCAAUUACUCACGCACGGCGUGAGCAUCAUAAAAUUGGUGAUGGAGGAUGGUUGAUGAUGACAACGACGACGAAUCCCCCUCUCCGGAGCCCCGAACGGACUCCAGAUCAGCCCUCCCGAGAGGUUUUAGGGCUUGGCGGCAGCUCCGUAUCGUAAAACACGAUGAUUUCUUCUCUCUGAUUUUUCUCUCUCCGAAAGCAAAUAUAUAGAGUUGGAGUUGGCGUCGGAGGGUCAACAGGGGGCCCACGAGGUAGGGGGGCGCGCCCUAGGGGGGGCCUAGGGGGGGGGGGGCGCCCCCCACCCUCGUGGAACGGGUAUGGGCCCCCUGGUCUUCAUAUUUGGCGAGGAUUUUUUAUUAUUUUUUCUAAGACCUCCCGUGGAGUUUCAGGUCAUUCCGAGAAUAUUUGUUUUCUGCACAUAAAACAACACCAUGGUAAUUCUGCUGAAAACAACGUCAGUCCGGGUUAGUUCCAUUCAAAUCAUACAAGAUAGAGUCCAAAACAAGGGCAAAAGUGUUUGGAAAAGUAGAUACGACGGAGAUGUAUCAGCCACCUUCCUUGGGCCCCCUCCCAAAGGCACCACCAUCCUCGGCGGCUCCGUCGCCGCCAGAGGAGAGGAAGGAGCCGAAGCUACCUGGCUCGAGCCCCUCCCCUAGGUGUGGCCAACAACAUCGGCACCGUCGCCUGAGGUGCGUCAGCAAACAGAGAGGGGGAAAGAGGGGCCUCCUGCCUGAACUCCUCCCCCCGCCCUCGACCAAGGCCAUCACAGGAGCAUCGAGCACAGGACUCACAGCAUCAUCAAAAUCCAGUGCCGACAGCGAACGCUCCAACACAUCAUCGGACUCCACUCGCUCACUCCAGAGUCGGAGAGGAGCAGAAGCUGGCUAAAACGACCCAAAUCUCAGGGAACUUAUAGGAACAGAAGGUGAGGGUGCCGCCCCAUCCCCAGACUUCUGAGGAACGGGCACAGAACCGUUGGACACCUCUCGUCUAGCCUCAUCCUCUGGCACCUCCUUAUCGCCCGAACUGUCAUCUCCCUCAUGCAUAUCCACAUCAGUCCCAUCAAUGGCCUCAGCAAAAAGAUCAUUAUCCUCAAACUCAAUCUCAAGGUUAAAAAUCUGGCCCUUAUACAUCCACUUAACCACAUGAGGCACAAACUCAAUGUCCAGAAUACUCACCAGCAAUCAGGCCACUCCGUGAGCUCGGGUGAAGGCCAUAUCUACUCUCUCCGGUUUCCCGACCAAAAUUCCCAAGCUAGCAACGACACGCGCAUCCUGCAUCGGCUUCGAGGGCGCCCCGGAGAAAUGUAACCACACCUGAAUAAGAGACUUGCCCUGUGGAUCAACCCUCUUCCACUCAUGGAACUCCAGGAUGCACUCUGUGCCAGACACUCUGCACAACCCAAAACUCAGGACCCUCUGCCAAUCCUCGAUAGAAGGAAAAUCCACCUUAAACAUAUUGGCCUCAAUACUGACAAGCUCCCACUGGAAGUCACCAGGAACUAAUUCCUUGAGCCUCUGCACAAUAUGAUCCUCAGAUACGUCACCUCUGGUAACUUUCACAACCCUAGUGGUCAUGUUCUGAACCUCCUCUGGGAUCUCCCUCGCACUAGGAGACUCAAAGAACAUCAACUCAGCGCAAUAGACUCCAUACAUAGUGAUAGUCGGCAUCUGAUCACGAAAAAUUGGGCAUUCCCCCGAAGCAUGAGUUGGUUUGCCGCAGGUAUCACAGAGCUCCGCCACACACUCAGCAAUGAAGUGGCCCUUCUCGCCACAAUGAUAACAUAUCAUCUUCUCUUUCUUACGCGCCCACUUGGACGCUCUAUCUGAGUCAGACCUAUCCACAGCCUCGACCGAACCCGUCGCUACAGUCUCAGUCUGAGGAAUCUCUGCAUUGGCCAGCGCCGUCACCACCUCCAUAGCCUGACCAAACANNNNNNNNNNNNNNNNNNNNNNNNNNNNNNNNNNNNNNNNNNNNNNNNNNNNNNNNNNNNNNNNNNNNNNNNNNNNNNNNNNNNNNNNNNNNNNNNNNNNNNNNNNNNNNNNNNNNNNNNNNNNNNNNNNNNNNNNNNNNNNNNNNNNNNNNNNNNNNNNNNNNNNNNNNNNNNNNNNNNNNNNNNNNNNNNNNNNNNNNNNNNNNNNNNNNNNNNNNNNNNNNNNNNNNNNNNNNNNNNNNNNNNNNNNNNNNNNNNNNNNNNNNNNNNNNNNNNNNNNNNNNNNNNNNNNNNNNNNNNNNNNNNNNNNNNNNNNNNNNNNNNNNNNNNNNNNNNNNNNNNNNNNNNNNNNNNNNNNNNNNNNNNNNNNNNNNNNNNNNNNNNNNNNNNNNNNNNNNNNNNNNNNNNACCACCACGAUAGCCACGGUAUCCACCUCGCUGCCGAUGGUUAGGGCCGGACGCCCUCUCAACAAACCACCAGGCGGACCGUAGAAAGGUCUCUCAGCAGUGCGAUCACUCUGCCAGGCAUAUCCGCGGCCAGCACGUGUCGACGAGGAGCCACGGUGCUGGCCAUCACCAUACACAUCAUAUCCAUCAUCACCUCAUUGUCUCCGGGGCGGACCAUAAUCACUUCCGGCACCAGCUGCAAGCUUCUGCACCGGCCCAGACCGCUUUUGCGGCGGCCUCGCGAUGUAGUGAGGCGGUGCCGCCCGAGGUUGAAGGCCAGGCGUCGACGGCUGAUUCCCAGGUAGCUGCGCCCGCGACCCUUGGACCGAACCACCCCGGCCUGCAGCAGCAAUGGCAGCCGCGCCCGGCGCCGGUGGCCGAGUCCCGCCCCGACCCACGGCCGGCUGCACCACGGUAGCCACGCUCGGCGCCGGAGGCCGAGGUCCGCCCCGACCCGCCGCAGGCUGCAUCACCGGCACCUGCA
rnacentral:lncRNA from 1 species